AAAAAAAAGAAAGAAAGAAAGAAAAAGAAAAUAAAUGAAGAGUGGGGGAAGGAAGACUGCGGACUGAGGAGAAGCCUGGCUUCUCAGAGAGUGGGAGAGGCUCUGUCUUGGCUCAUCUUCAUUUCACCAGAGACUAAUCUAAGAAGACUUUAUGAGGCAUUACCAACAACAGAAGAAGUAAGUCUGAAGAUCUCAAACCUUCAUCGACUGCUCAAAAGUCCCAAAGUGUCAUUGCAGGACUAUUCACAAGAGCAAAGAUGCAGAACCAAUCCAGGAGUUCAUCAACAGUGGAUUGGAUAAGGAAAAUGUGAAGAGGAAAUUUGGACCCAGACACAGAGGGAAGAUGAUGUGAAGACACUGAGCGGAGACAGCCAUCUACAAACCCAGGAGAGAGGCCUCAGAAGGAAUCCACGCUGCCAACACCUUGAUCCUGGAUUUCCAGC